UUACGGCCACAUUACGUUGAAACACCAGUUCUCGUACGAUUACUGAAGUUAAGCAAAUUCGAGCCUGGUCAGUACCUAGAUGCGAGACUGCUUGUGAAUACCCUGUGCUGUAAG